UACAGAGGUGGCAAGCGUUGUUCGGAAUUACUGGGCGUAAAGCGUGCGCAGGCGGUUGUGCAAGACAGAUGUGAAAUCCCCGGGCUCAACCUGGGAAUUGCAUUUGUGACUGCACGGCUAGAGUGUGUCAGAGGGGGGGUAGAAUUCCACGUGUAGCAGUGAAAUGCGUAGAGAUGUGGAGGAAUACCGAUGGCGAAGGCAGCCCCCUGGGAUAACACUGACGCCUCAUGCACGAAAGCGUGGGGAGCAAACAGG
rnacentral:rRNA from 1 species